rnacentral:tRNA from 1 species
GGUUGUGGCUCAGUGGUAGAGCACUUGGUUCGCGUGUGGGAAGCACUGGGUUCAAUCCUCAGCACCA